UUUACACUGCACGCAAGUGCGAUAGGGGAAUCCCAAGUGCGAGGGCAUACUAGCCCUCGCUUUUGUGUACUGUAAGGAGGUACACGAAUAAGAGCUGGGCAAGACCGGUGCCAGCCGCCGCGGUAAUACCGGCAGCUCGAGUGAUGUCCAAUUUUAUUGGGCCUAAAGCGUCCGUAGCUGGCCAGCCAAGUCCGUCGGGAAAUCCACCUGCCCAACAGGUGGGCGUCCGGCGGAAACUGUCUGGCUUGGAACCGGAAGGCUCAGAGGGUACGUCCGGGGUAGGAGUGAAAUCCUGUAAUCCCGGACGGACCACCGAUGGCGAAAGCACUCUGAGAAGACGGAUUCGACAGUGAGGGACGAAAGCUAGGGUCUCGAACCGGAUUAGAUACCCGGGUAGUCCUAGCUGUAAACGAUGCUCGUUAGGUGUGGCACCCACUACGAGUGGGUGCUGUGCCGUAGGGAAGCCGCUAAACGAGCCGCCUGGGAAGUACGUCCGCAAGGAUGAAACUUAA
rnacentral:rRNA from 1 species